GUCCCUGUAUCGCAAUAGAUAGCGCGUUGGACUUCUAAUCCAAAGGUCGUGGGUCCAAAUCCCAUCUGGGAUG
rnacentral:tRNA from 1 species